AUGUGUACUACAAUGAGGAAAGGUGGUAUAGAUAUAGAAUCCAGGGACUUGCACUCCUUCAUUUUGGCAUGGUUACCUGUAUAAGUUUGGCGCUUGAUGGCUGAACCUCAUUCCCAAUGUGAAAAGGUACUCAAAGCUAAAUACUUCAAAGAUGGAGAUCUCAUGAAUUGCAAAUUAAAGAAAUGAAGCUCUUACACUUGGCAGAGCAUUUGGGGUGGUACUCAAACAUUCAAGAGAGGUCACAUCUUGCGUGUUGGAGAUGACACUACGAUUAAGAUUUGGGAGGACGCUUGGGUUCCUAGUAGUCCAAAUCGAAUGAUAUUGACUAGAAGAUGUAACAUAGUGCCUACAGAAGUUUUGGGAUUAAUAAAUUGGAUGAAGAGCUCAUUAGGGAUAAUUUCUGGCCAAUUGUUCAAACCAAACUCUAAAUAUUACAUUAAUAGUGGGUAUGAUGGAAGACUUUGUCUCUUAGCACUUUAA
rnacentral:rRNA from 1 species